AAUGGAUUAAGAUAAGGGCUUUGGACCAGAGAAAUAUGCCUGUGCAAAGGCCCUGUGACAAGCGGGAGGCAUGGCACUAACAACAGAAGGCAAGGGUGACUAGAGUACCAGAGGCAAAGAGGCAAUGGUACAGAGGUGGCCAGAGGCCAGGCCAUCCAGGAACUUGGUAGCCACAGGUUCUGCUCAGACUGGGAAGGGAAAGGGAGCAAAGGAA
rnacentral:lncRNA from 1 species